rfam:Picea glauca, whole genome shotgun sequence.
ACAUGCCUACAACAUAGUGUUAAUACAUCAGAUCUCAUUAUCACUCUGUAGUUAAGCGUGCUCAUGCUAGAUUAGUACUAGGAUGGGUGACCACUCGAGAAGUCCUAGUGUUUUACAUGCC